rnacentral:rRNA from 1 species
GAUGAACGCUGGCGGCGUGCCUAAUACAUGCAAGUCGAGCGAACGGACGAGAAGCUUGCUUCUCUGACGUUAGCGGCGGACGGGUGAGUAACACGUGGAUAACCUACCUAUAAGACUGGGAUAACUUCGGGAAACCGGAGCUAAUACCGGAUAAUAUUUUGAACCGCAUGGUUCAAAAGUGAAAGACGGUCUUGCUGUCACUUAUAGAUGGAUCCGCGCUGCAUUAGCUAGUUGGUAAGGUAACGGCUUACCAAGGCAACGAUGCAUAGCCGACCUGAGAGGGUGAUCGGCCACACUGGAACUGAGACACGGUCCAGACUCCUACGGGAGGCAGCAGUAGGGAAUCUUCCGCAAUGGGCGAAAGCCUGACGGAGCAACGCCGCGUGAGUGAUGAAGGUCUUCGGAUCGUAAAACUCUGUUAUUAGGGAAGAACAAAUGUGUAAGUAACUGUGCACGUCUUGACGGUACCUAAUCAGAAAGCCACGGCUAACUACGUG